rnacentral:rRNA from 1 species
GACGAACGCUGGCGGCGUGCUUAACACAUGCAAGUCGAGCGAGGUCCAUCCGGUGGCAACACCGGGGACGACCGAGCGGCGAACGGGUGAGUAACACGUGAGCAACCUGCCCCGAAGACUGGGAUAACACCGGGAAACCGGUGCUAAUACCGGAUAUCCCCACCAGACCGCAUGAUCAGGUGAGGAAAUGUCCAUCUCCUUUUGGGGAUUCGCGCUUCGGGAGGGGCUCGCGGGCUAUCAGCUUGUUGGUGGGGUAACGGCCUACCAAGGCGACGAC